rnacentral:rRNA from 1 species
AGUGAACGCUGGCGGUAGGCCUAACACAUGCAAGUCGAACGGCAGCACAGUAAGAGCUUGCUCUUACGGGUGGCGAGUGGCGGACGGGUGAGGAAUACAUCGGAAUCUACUUUUUCGUGGGGGAUAACGUAGGGAAACGUACGCUAAUACCGCAUAAGACCUACGGGGGAAAGGGGGGGAGCUUCAGACCUUGCGCGAUUGAAUGAGCCGAUGCCGGAUCGGCGAGUUGGCGGGGUAACGGGCAACCAAGCCGACGAUCCGUAGCUGGGCUGAGAGGAUGAUCGGCCACACUGGAACUGAGACACGGUCCAGACUCCUACGGGAGGCAGCAGUGGGGAAUAUUGGACAAUGGGCGCAAGCCUGAUCCAGCCAUGCCGCGUGGGUGAAGAAGGCCUUCGGGUUGUAAAGCCCUUUUCUUGGGAAAGAAAAGCAGCAUUUUUAUACGCCGCUGUUCUGACGGUACCUAAAGAAUAAGCACCGGCUAACUUCGUG